GUCCCUGUAGCGCAAUGGAAAGCGCAUUGGACAUCUAAUUCUAUGAUAGUGGGUUCAUAUACCACCUGGGAUG